rnacentral:rRNA from 1 species
GACGAACGCUGGCGGCGUGCCUAAUACAUGCAAGUCGAACGAUGAAGGAGGAGCUUGCUUCUCCGGCUGAGUUGCGAACGGGUGAGUAACGCGUAGGUAACCUGCCUGGUAGCGGGGGAUAACUAUUGGAAACGAUAGAUAAUACCGCCUAAGAGUAGAUGUCGCAUGACAUUUGCUUAAAAGGUGAAACUGCACCACUACCAGAUGGACCUGCGUUGUAUUAGCUAGUUGGUGAGGUAACGGCUCACCAAGGCAACGAUACGUAGCCGACCUGAGAGGGUGAUCGGCCACACUGGGACUGAGACACGGCCCAGACUCCUACGGGAGGCAGCAGUAGGGAAUCUUCGGCAAUGGACGGAAGUCUGACCGAGCAACGCCGCGUGAGUGAAGAAGGUUUUCGGAUCGUAAAGCUCUGUUGUAAGGGAAGAACGAGUGUGUGGGUGGAAAGGUCACACAUUGACGGUAUCUGAACAGAAAGGGACGGCUAACUACGUG